rnacentral:rRNA from 1 species
GUUACCAAUGAGCUAACGCUUGAUCCAGUAACAUCUUGUGAGUGAUGAAGGCUCUUUAGCUGUAAAACUCAUUAUUUUAAAAAUAGGUAGAUUUGUAUAGAAAAAAAGUUCCGACUAAUGUUGUGCCAGCAGUCGCGGUAAUACAGCAGGAACUAGCGUUAUUUAGCAUAAAUGGGCGUAAAGCGUUUGUGGUUGGUAUAAAGUUGUUAGGUGUUAAAUUUCAUGGCGUAACUUUGAAACAGCGCUUAAAACGUUUAUACUAGAGUGCAAUGUAAGACAUUGGAAUUUUACAAGAAGAGGUAAAAUUUUUAGAACUGUAAAAGAACCUCAAAAGCAAAGGCUGUUGUCUAGGUUGUUGACUGACAUUAAGAAACGAAAGUGUGGUUAUCAAACAGGACUAGAUACCCUGGUAGUCUACACCCUAAAUUAUGAGUGUUAACCCUUAGUGUAUUUAAACAUUAGGCGUUUUUGUUAACUUGUUAAGCACUCCGCCUGAAAAGUAUAAUUACAAGAUGGAACUUCAAAGGAAUUGACGGGGAUCAAUUACCAGUGGUGGAGCAUGUUGUUUAAUGCGAUAGUACACGCUAAACCUUACCAGUUUUUGAUGGCGCAUUUUGUGAAGUUUUAAGAAACAAAAAUUUCCGUUUAAUAGUAAGCAUUCUACGCACAAGAAUUGCAUGGCUGUCGUCAGCUCGUGUUGUGAAAUGUUGGAUUAAUUUCUUAAACGAGCGAAACCCCUAUUUUUAAUUGCCACAGUUGAUUCUUUUAACAGGAACUUUAAAAAACUUGUUGGUGGAUAAGCCAAACGAAAGAAGGGAUCACGUCAAGUCCUUAUGAUCUUUAUAAACUGGGCUACAAACGUGCUACAGUGGAAAUUACAAAAAGUAGCGAUAGCCAAAAACUGGAGCAAAUCUUUAAAAAUUUCUAAUGUUCGAAUUGUGUUCUGAAACUCGAGCACAUGAAGUUGGAAUCACAAGUAAUCGUAGAUCAGCAUGCUAUGGUGAAUUUGUACCU